UAGGGAAUCUUCCACAAUGGGCGAAAGCCUGAUGGAGCAACGCCGCGUGUGUGAUGAAGGGUUUCGGCUCGUAAACACUGUUGUAAGAGAAGAAUGACAUUGAGAGUAACUGUUCAAUGUGUGACGGUAUCUUACCAGAAAGGAACGGCUAAAUACGUGCCAA
rnacentral:rRNA from 1 species